CCUCAAAGUCCACCUGUCAUGACCUGACGUAACCCCGACGUAAGGACGUACAGGUGGUCCUCUCAGGUUUUCCGGGGUUCACGCUCCGUGGGUUCAACACGCCGAGAUUUACUGAAGACCAGAACUUUAUCAGACCCCGGAGCGAACCGGGACAACGGUUCUGAGUCCAAAUCCAGGUGAGCUGCAGGAUCAGGACGACAGAGACCAGGACCGGGUUCAGCUUCUGCUCCGAGUUCGGAUUACUGUGAAAGUGGACCUGCUGGACACCUCAGAGAAAAACGGAUUAAUGGGGACGUUUCCGGUCCGGAUUGAAGCAGGUUCGGAUGAAGAUCGACAGGUGAGCCAAGACCAGCAAGAGGUGAGUGUGCGCGCGCGCGCGUGUGCAGAAGUAGAACCGGAUCUGUUCUGAUGGGGGACAGGGGUCCAGUCCAGGGGAAACUUCAGGAGUUCAGAUGUUCUCAGAGUUCCGGUUUUUGUUCAUGUCUGAGUGAUGAAGUUUAAUUUAGACUGAGAUCAUCUCUGAGAUCAUCUCCUCUGUGAUUUUAACCCUUUCAUUCAUUAACUAUCAGGUCUGCAGAUUUUAUUCCUCUUAUAAAAAACUGUCAUUUAAAUUUUUGUCAAGAAUCUAUUUUUCAUGGAGUCACAAAAAUGUCCGUUCAGCAGGACACCGUAAAGAUAAAACAUGAAUUUAACAAACAGACUAGAGAAAACGAUCUUCUGAUAAAACUGUGAUGUGAAAACCUUUUCAGUUCAGCUCAUUUAACGUCGUCUUAGAUUUGAACACAUUUUCAAAACGUUGACCUUCGCUCUGAACUCAUGAACUGCAGAUUUCUUCUCCAGAAAGUUGAAUUUAGACCGAAAUCAUCUCUACUUUUCUGUGAUUUUAAAGUUUCAGUUUUUAAAAUCUCAACAAGAACUGUUUAGAUCAGGGUUCAAGCUGGGCCCCCCUCAAAGAUGGUUCAGUGCAGGUGGAUUAUAAACCUGCUGGAGCUGGAUGACUUCACCUGAGUUUAGCUUCAGAUGUUCAGACUGUUCAGAGAGAUUCACUUGUAACAGAAACAGAUCUGUUCGUGUUUCUGAGGUCGUCCUGUCUUGUUUUUCUCAUUCUUUGAUUGAAAGUCUUUUAACGUUCUCUCUUAUUAUCAGUAAAAAGGACAGAAACAGUCUGAACCAGAUCGUCAAAGUCUGCUCCAGAAUCACCAGAGUUCUUCUUCUGAUGGACCGGAGCUCUCUCUGGGAGGAACGAGAGGUCCAGUCGUGUUGUGUCGUUCAUGAACGAUUCGUUUAAAAGAACCGAAUCAGAUCUCCGUUAAACGGCGGUGUGGUGUCAUGAGCUGCUGUGAAAUCUGGUGAACACAGGUGUGUCU